AGCCACGCGCCCGCAAGAUCUUUCCUCCCCAGGUUUCGGAGGACGCAGCCUCCUUCUAUUCUGAACUCCCGGCCCUCCUUGCCCCGUUCCUUUCCCCAUUGGCCGAGGUACCAGGAAGGCACAGCCUUCCCGACCCGCCUACCGCGUAUUCCCCCUCGAACCUGCUCAGAAACUCGAGCUCGUACGGAGCCGUGGCUGUGUCAGGAGCCAGGCUGUCUGGGCUCUGCGAUAAAUCUGCUGCCCAAAAGCAGUAGAGCCAUUAAGAGCUAUUUCAAAGCUGUUAACAUCCAUACCGUCACCCAUCGAAUUGUUUGUAAAGACAUUGGCACGCAUCUUCCCUUUCUCUCGGGGACAAAGGGACAAAGGGCGGCAGCAGCAGCAGCGACUCUACCGACCCGUUACCUCUUUGCUCGUCCUCCUCCUCUCCCGUUCCCGUCUCUCUCGCCCUCCUGUGUCCCGCCCUGUCCCCGCUCCUCCCGGAGCCGCUUCCCCCCGGCUCAGCGCGGUCCCCGCGGUCUCUCCCCCGCCCGGCUCUCGCCGUUCCGGCCGUGGCUCCGCCUGGCCCGGCCCCGGCCGCUGCCGCCGCCUCCUCUGCGGCUUCCCCGGCCGAGCUCCGCCGCUCGGUGCCCGCUCCAGAUGGGAAAGCCCCGCCCGGACCCCGGGAAGGGGAAAGUACCGGGUGGGGCCGCUGCUGGGGACUUGGCCAAGCCAGCCGAAAGUGGCCGGAAUGUCCAAAGUUACUCUGGAGCGGAGGAGAAGCGCUCGGCCCUCUGCACAUCCAUCAAACCAGCUGUGCACAAGGGGAAAUGUCACAUUGGAGUGCACAGGAAGGAGGAGCAAGCAGCCUGUGACCUGUGACCAGCCACUCUGGGGUGUUUGACAAUGUGCCACACUCUGCUUUAGGGCUCCCAGUGGCAGAAGAUGGGUGCUGUGGUCAGCAGGUUACCUCUGCACCUCUGCUUUCCCAUGGCAUUGUGGACAUCCAGUGCUGUUGCCUGGAGGACCAUUUGUCAACACAAUACAAACAUGCUUUAAGCUCUUGCCAGAUCAAGAGGAACAAAUAAAUGUUCAACGGGACAAAUAAAUAGGAAGGGA
rnacentral:lncRNA from 1 species